GUACACUCCUACGGGAGGCAGCAGUGGGGAAUAUUGGACAAUGGGCGCAAGCCUGAUCCAGCCAUGCCGCGUGAGUGAUGAAGGCCCUAGGGUUGUAAAGCUCUUUUGUGCGGGAAGAUAAUGACGGUACCGCAAGAAUAAGCCCCGGCUAACUUCGUGCCAGCAGCCGCGGUAAUACGAAGGGGGCUAGCGUUGCUCGGAAUCACUGGGCGUAAAGGGUGCGUAGGCGGGUCUUUAAGUCAGGGGUGAAAUCCUGGAGCUCAACUCCAGAACUGCCUUUGAUACUGAAGAUCUUGAGUUCGGGAGAGGUGAGUGGAACUGCGAGUGUAGAGGUGAAAUUCGUAGAUAUUCGCAAGAACACCAGUGGCGAAGGCGGCUCACUGGCCCGAUACUGACGCUGAGGCACGAAAGCGUGGGGAGCAAACAGGAUUAGAAACCCCUGUAGUCCC
rnacentral:rRNA from 1 species